UACGUAGGGGGCAAGCGUUGUCCGGAAUCAUUGGGCGUAAAGCGCGUGUAGGCGGCUCGGUAAGUCCGCUGUGAAAGUCGGGGGCUCAACCCUCGGAUGCCGGUGGAUACUGUCGGGCUAGAGUGCGGGAGAGGCGAGUGGAAUUCCUGGUGUAGCGGUGAAAUGCGCAGAUAUCAGGAGGAACACCAAUUGCGAAGGCAGCUCGCUGGAACGGUACUGACGCUGAGGCGCGAAAGCGUGGGGAGCGAACAGG
rnacentral:rRNA from 1 species